UACGUAGGGCGCAAGCGUUGUCCGGAAUUAUUGGGCGUAAAGAGCUCGUAGGCGGCCAGUUGCGUCUGCUGUGAAAUCCCGGGGCUCAACCCCGGGCUUGCAAUGGAUACGGGCUGGCUGGAGGCAGGCAGGGGAGAACGGAAUUCCCGGUGUAGCGGUGAAAUGCGCAGAUAUCGGGAGGAACACCGGUGGCGAAGGCGGUUCUCUGGGCCUGUACUGACGCUGAGGAGCGAAAGCGUGGGGAGCGAACAGG
rnacentral:rRNA from 1 species